rnacentral:misc_RNA from 1 species
GAUCAUUACCGAGUGCGGGCCCCCUCGCGGGGCCCAACCUCCCACCCGUGUCUACCGUACCAUGUUGCUUCGGCGGGCCCGCCGCAAGGCCGCCGGGGGGGCACCCGCCCCCCGGGCCCGCGCCCGCCGGAGACCUCAACACGAACACUGUCUGAAUUAGUGGCGUCUGAGUCUACGUACAAAUAAGUUAAAACUUUCAACAAUGGAUCUCUUGGUUCCGGCAUCGAUGAAGAACGCAGCGAAAUGCGAUAAGUAAUGUGAAUUGCAGAAUUCAGUGAAUCAUCGAGUCUUUGAACGCACAUUGCGCCCCCUGGUAUUCCGGGGGGCAUGCCUGUCCGAGCGUCAUUGCUGCCCUCCAGCCCGGCUGGUGUGUUGGGCCGCCGUCCCCCCCGGGGGACGGGCCCGAAAGGCAGUGGCGGCGCCGCGUCCGGUCCCCGAGCGUAUGGGGCUCUGUCACCCGCUCCGUGGGCACCGGCCGGCUGCCGGCCUCGACCAUCUUCCUUUUUUUUCCAAGGUUGACCUCGGAUCAGGUAGGGAUACCCGCUGAACUUAAGCAUAUCAAUAA